AAUCAACGCUGGCGGCGUGCCUCAGACAUGCAAGUCGAACGAUUAAACUUUCCUUCGGGAAAGAUAUAAAGUGGCGCACGGGUGAGUAACACGUAGGUAAUGUACCUUUGGGUGGGAUAACCAUCGAACGAUGGCUAAUACCGCAUAAUGCAGCGGCAUCGCAAGAUGACAGUUGUUAAAGAUUUAUCGCCUAAAGAGCAGCCUGCGGCAGAUUAGGUAGUUGGAAGGUAAUGGCUUACCAAGCCUGCGAUCUGUAACCGACCUGAGAGGGGUGGUCGGUCACACUGACACUGAAUAACGGGUCA
rnacentral:rRNA from 1 species